rnacentral:misc_RNA from 1 species
CUCUCUUUCCCUUUCUCUUUUCCACCCACGCUGACGCGUCAGCAGAAACAAGCUCCUCCCCCUCCCCUCAGCAACGGCUCCUCGAGCUUGAGCAGACGCACUCCCUCUCCCACAUAACCCUUUGGGCCUUUUCGUGUUGUCUCUCCUGCCACGAUACGCAUCAAGCCGCAGACACGCGAAAAUCAUGUCGACUCCAGAGGCCCGCGCACAGGUCUACCUGGUCAACCUCCGCAGCAGGCUGGAGGAGAAGAACAAUGCCAGCGCCGCUGCCACGGUGUCGCGCGCGCUCGACUACUUUGAGCAACGCUUCUGGUAUGAGCUGUCAAGUGAAUUGCUGCAGCUGAUCCGUGACCCGAUGGUGCUGGAGGACGCGUACGAGCUGUACGCGGACGUUAUUGUGGCCGUACGGGCUGACAUCUCGCCUAUCGCAUACGUCAUGAUUGUUCGCUCCGUCUGCUUCGCUCCGCAUAGCACGACGCAGAAGGCGCUGGAGCUUGUCGAGGGCGCGUGCGCCUCUCUCAUCCAUAGCAGCUCGGAGCAGGGGCACUACGCUGCCUUGUGCAUCCGUGCCCUCCUGCUACUCGAGAGCACGAGCCCCGAGGAGAGCGCGGCGCUGGCGGCGGUGCCUGGGUCGCCGCCGCACACGGCACGCAAGUUACUGGAGCAGACCGAGAUGUACCUGCACGGCCUCAAGAUGCACGAGGUGGAGCCGGUGCUGGUCGCGCUGUACGGCAUGGCACGCGGUCGUGACUACGAGAUCCGGCGCCAGCACACGAGUUACUACAAAAACGCGUUCGACAUCAUUAUCUUUUUGGAGAAGGCGGACCUGCCCAUGCGCGACGAGGACGUCACCGCGCUGGCGUACAAGACCGUGGUCGCCGGCCUGCUCUCAGACAAAAUCUUCAACUUCGGCAAGCUGCUCAACUUCGACCAAUUUGUGUCCCGGCUGCAACGGGAGUCGUGCCCGCAGCGCUGGGCGCUGGAGAUGAUGCGGCUGUGCAACGAAGGCGACGUGGCCAACUUCGAGGCCUUUUUCCGGCAGCACCAGCAGCAGAUUUCACAGGAGCCCCAGCUCGUGAGCGCGUCGGCGACGCUGCACCGAAAGGUGCGGCUCAUGGCGCUGCUGCAUCUCAUCUUCUACACCCCUUUGAGCGAGCGCACCUUUGCCUUUCACGCGGUGGCGCAGCGGUGCGGUGUCCCGGAUAGCGGGGCGGAGCCGCUGUUGCUCGAGGCGCUCGCUCACGGCAUUAUCAAGGGCCGGAUGGACGGCUUGAAGAGGGAGGUGCGCAUUACGUGGGUGGAGUCGCGUGUGCUGAGCCUUGAGGAGGUGAAGGCGUUGGCGCAGCAUGUGUCGCAGUGGCGAGAGCAGGUCGUGGGGCUCACGAACUCGGUGAAGGAGAUGACAAAGAAGAUCCCGCAGUAGGAAGCACGAGACGAGGCCAUGCAGACGCUAUCUGCGAGGAUAACGACAAAAAGAGGAGGGGUGGAGGAAGGGGGCGUCAGCGGCGCACCUUCCCCCUUCCUCCCGGCACUGUUGCCGUUGUAAGCGGUGCGAGAGGAUGCAGUUGGUCAUGUCGUUCGUUGUCGUCCUUGUGAUGGGGAGGUCGUUGCCGUCUCCUCCUGUCCCAUGUGCUCGACGCUCUCGGCCUCCGACUCACCCUUGUUCGCGGCACUGUGCGUGCACGUGUGCGUUGUUGUUGAUUUAUUCGCUCUUGUCCGCCGCUGCCGCUGCCGCCGCUGCCCCAUUCGCUCGUUCCGGUGCGUGCAGGGCGGUGGAGCCUUCGUACGCGCGUUGCGCAUUAACGGAUGCGCAUGCGGGGCAAUGUAUGUGGGUGGGUGCGUUUUUCGAGAAGAUGCGACGCGCGCGUGCGAAAGGAAGAGAGAGAGAGAGAAACGAUGGAUGACGAGUGCACCGAAUCCACGCCCACGGAGGCCGCAGACAGGACAUAUAUGCGCGCCUGCUUCACAUCCGCAAGGCAGGCCCACCCUUGUUGCCUCUCCCUGCCGCCGCAGCCCCACCUUCCUCCUCCCCAGCACUGCAUAUUCCCCCCCUUCAUUUUUUCGCAUGCGUGUGUGCCAUGUUCGUGUCGUCUGUUUGUUGUCAGUGCGCCUUCCUGUGUAUGUAGUUGGAUCGCACGCAAGCGAACGGAGCGAACCAGAAACGUGAAGGAGAGGAGGAGGAGGGGGAGGGAGGGGCGGUGAAGUUCAGCUCCUCAGCCUCACCACCCUCCUCUCUCUUCAAGCUGCUCAUGAGAUAGCAUCCUCUUCUCCGCCUCUUACUCAUGGCACGCAUAGGUUGAGGGGAUAAGACAGGCAAACGUGGCUACGCACGGCCGGCGCAGUGCUGCUGCCACGUCAGUGGUGCUGUUCUUGCUGCCAAAAUACCCUUCCUUUACGCGUCUCUCUCCUUGCUUUCUGAAUUCCUUCUCUUCUUCAG